rnacentral:rRNA from 1 species
ACCCGCACAAGCGGUGGAUGAUGUGGUUUAAUUCGAUGCAACGCGAAAACCUUACCCACCUUUGACAUGGCAGGAAUCCCGAAGAGAUUUGGGAGUGCUCGAAAGAGAACCUGCACACAGGUGCUGCAUGGCUGUCGUCAGCUCGUGUCGUGAGAUGUUGGGUUAAGUCCCGCAACGAGCGCAACCCUUGCCAUUAGUUGCUACGAAAGGGCACUCUAAUGGGACUGCCGGUGACAACCGGAGGAAGGUGGGGAUGACGUCAAGUCCUCAUGGCCCUUAUAGGUGGGGCUACACACGUCAUACAAUGGCCGGUACAGAGGGUAGCCAACCCGCGAGGGGGAGCCAAUCCCACAAAGCCGAUCGUAGUCCGGAUCGCAGUCUGCAACUCGACUGCGUGAAGUCGGAAUCGCUAGUAAUCGUGGAUCAGCAUGUCACGGUGAAUACGUUCCCGGGUCUU